GAUUUUCUUUGUCAAUUUCUUCAAUUCUGUGCUUCACAUACUUGAAUUGGCUACCUGCAAAGGAUGGAUUGUUCAGAUUUGUUACAGGCAUGCAUAUAUUGACUAUUGUUACACAAAUUGGCGGGAUUUCAACGUUGCUGAUGGCCUGGGGAAUAACCUUUUGGAUGAGAUCGUCAUUGUCAAGGACAAAAGCCUUGAACAGCUUGGCUGGAGGGACAGGGGAGGUAACCUCCAGGUCAUAAGCUGCCACUCCCAUGAUCCUAGAAAAUAGCAAGAAAAGGAAGCACAGAAAGGAGCAGGUGGGGGAGGAGGAUUGAUUGAUUGAUAGUCCGUUCUGAGGCGAGAAAAUGUGGGUAAACAACAGAUGUAUUUAUAGAUUGAUGCUAACUAAUGAUUAUGGGAAAUAUCACCUGCAAUUUCUUGACUUGUUGGGGA